GGAAUUCUUGAGGAUGCUGUGGGA
rnacentral:piRNA from 1 species